UGGGGAAUUUUGGACAAUGGACGCAAGUCUGAUCCAGCCAUGCCGCGUGCGGGAAGAAGGCCUUCGGGUUGUAAACCGCUUUUGUCAGGGAAGAAACGAGUUUCUCUAAUACAGAGACUUAAUGACGGUACCUGAAGAAUAAGCACCGGCUAACUACGUGCCAGCAGCCGCGGUAAUACGUAGGGUGCGAGCGUUAAUCGGAAUUACUGGGCGUAAAGCGUGCGCAGGCGGUUAUAUAAGACAGAUGUGAAAUCCCCGGGCUCAACCUGGGAACUGCCUUUGUGACUGCAUAGCUAGAGUACGGUAGAGGGGGAUGGAAUUCCGCGUGUAGCAGUGAAAUGCGUAGAUAUGCGGAGGAACACCGAUGGCGAAGGCAAUCCCCUGGGCCUGUACUGACGCUCAUGCACGAAAGCGUGGGGAGCAAACA
rnacentral:rRNA from 1 species